rnacentral:rRNA from 1 species
UACGUAGGGGGCAAGCGUUGUCCGGAUUUAUUGGGCGUAAAGAGCUCGUAGGCGGUUCCGUAAGUCGAGUGUGAAAAAUCUGGGCUCAACCCAGUGGAGCACUCGAUACUGCGGUGACUAGAGUACGGUAGAGGAGUGUGGAAUUCCACGUGUAGCAGUGAAAUGCGUAGAGAUGUGGAGGAACACCGAUGGCGAAGGCAGCCCCCUGGGCCAACACUGACGCUCAGGCACGAAAGCGUGGGGAGCAAACAGG